GUAGGGAAUAUUGGGCAAUGGAGGCAACUCUGACGCAGCCAUGCCGCGUGCAGGAAGAAGGCGCUACGCGUUGUAAACUGCUUUUAACCGGGAAGAAACCCCAGGACGUGUCCUGGGUUGACGGUACCGGAGGAAUAAGCACCGGCUAACUUCGUGCCAGCAGCCGCGGUAAUACGAAGGGUGCAAGCGUUAUCCGGAUUCAUUGGGUUUAAAGGGUGCGUAGGCGGAGCGUUAAGUCAGUGGUGAAAUCCUGCAGCUUAACUGUAGACUUGCCAUGGAUACUGGCGCUCUUGAGUGCGCUUGAAGUGGGCGGAAUGUGCCGUGUAGCGGUGAAAUGCUUAGAUAUGGCACAGAACACCAAUUGCGAAGGCAGCUCACUAAGGCGAUACUGACGCUGAGGCACGAAAGCGUGGGGAUCGAACAGGAUUAGAAACCCCUGUAGUCC
rnacentral:rRNA from 1 species